CCUAAGACCAUAUUGAAUGUCAAAGUGGGUUGAAGCAUAAAUAUCAAUAAAUAUCGUGUGAUCUGAAUGCACAUCCGUUUGACAUAUACUUGAAGUUUUCUGCUUCCUAAUGUUAGAAGUCUCUGUGUAAGGUCAUCUAAAGACACCCUUUACAGACCACAAAGCAAGUCCCGUGAGAGCGAUGGCUAUACUAAUCCAGCUCUUGUGCACAACCCAGUUUAUAAGGAAAUGAGUACUUGUCAAAAUAAAAAGGAUAAUGGCCUCCACCAGGUAAAACGUCCCUGUGGAGGACUUGCAAUUCCUGGGUUGGCUCAUAUGGAAGGCCCAGUGAAGACAACCACAGGUGAAAAAACUGAAGGAGAGUGACUUAUUCUAAGUCACACCCUUAGGAUCUGGCAGAAAGAAAAAUGAACUGAGGCUUUCUGGAUCCUUCCUACUUUCUACCUCUGGCUGCUGCCUCUCUUGGCCACUCUAGAGCAUCGUGUGAUGCUGUGGUAUGACAACAACAAAUCAAUGUUGUCUCUUUUUUUUUUUUUAAAGAAGUGGUUCUUUUUAUUUAUUUAUUUAUUUUUUUCCUUUUUCUCCCCAAAGCCCCCCGGUACAUAGUUGUAUAUUCUUAGUUGUGGAUCCUUCUAGUUGUGGCAUGUGGGACGCUGCCUCAGCGUGGUUUGAUGAGCAGUGCCAUGUCCGUGCCCAGGAUUCGAACCAACGAAACACUAGGCCGCCUGCAGCGGAGCACUCGAACUUAACCACUCGGCCACGGGGCCAGCCCCUCAAUGUUGUCUCUUGGAUGUGAAGGUGAUGGUAUGGCUCCCAUGAAAGGCGGGUGUGAAUCCAUUCAUCUCAUCGUCCCUCACGUGACAAUGGUGGACAUUUCCAAGCUGUUUGGGAUUCAUGAGUAAUGAAGCCUUGAAAUGAAGUAAAACAAAC
rnacentral:lncRNA from 1 species